rnacentral:rRNA from 1 species
AUGCAAGUCGAACGAGUUCUGAUUAUUGAAAGGUGCUUGCAUCUUGAUUUAAUUUUGAACGAGUGGCGGACGGGUGAGUAACACGUGGGUAACCUGCCCUUAAGUGGGGGAUAACAUUUGGAAACAGAUGCUAAUACCGCAUAAAUCCAAGAACCGCAUGGUUCUUGGCUGAAAGAUGGCGUAAGCUAUCGCUUUUGGAUGGACCCGCGGCGUAUUAGCUAGUUGGUGAGGUAACGGCUCACCAAGGCAAUGAUACGUAGCCGAACUGAGAGGUUGAUCGGCCACAUUGGGACUGAGACACGGCCCAAACUCCUACGGGAGGCAGCAGUAGGGAAUCUUCCACAAUGGACGCAAGUCUGAUGGAGCAACGCCGCGUGAGUGAAGAAGGCUUUCGGGUCGUAAAACUCUGUUGUUGGAGAAGAAUGGUCGGCAGAGUAACUGUUGUCGGCGUGACGGUAUCCAACCAGAAAGCCACGGCUAACUACGUGCCAGCAGCCGCGGUAAUACGUAGGUGGCAAGCGUUAUCCGGAUUUAUUGGGCGUAAAGCGAGCGCAGGCGGUUUUUUAAGUCUGAUGUGAAAGCCCUCGGCUUAACCGAGGAAGUGCAUCGGAAACUGGGAAACUUGAGUGCAGAAGAGGACAGUGGAACUCCAUGUGUAGCGGUGAAAUGCGUAGAUAUAUGGAAGAACACCAGUGGCGAAGGCGGCUGUCUG